rnacentral:misc_RNA from 1 species
AAGUCGUAACAAGGUUUCCGUAGGUGAACCUGCGGAAGGAUCAUUAAAGAGUAAGGGUGCUCAGCGCCCGACCUCCAACCCUUUGUUGUUAAAACUACCUUGUUGCUUUGGCGGGACCGCUCGGUCUCGAGCCGCUGGGGAUUCGUCCCAGGCGAGCGCCCGCAGCGUAACAAUACCAUCUUCGUUAGUUUAAUUACCGGUCGUCUGAGUUAAAAUUUUUGAAUAAAUCAAAA